rnacentral:misc_RNA from 1 species
GAUGAAGAACGUAGCGAAAUGCGAUAAGUAAUGUGAAUUGCAGAAUUCAGUGAAUCAUCGAAUCUUUGAACGCACAUUGCGCCCUCUGGUAUUCCGGGGGGCAUGCCUGUUCGAGCGUCAUUAUAACCACUCAAGCUCUCGCUUGGUAUUGGGGUUCGCGGUUCCGCGGCCCCUAAAAUCAGUGGCGGUGCCUGUCGGCUCUACGCGUAGUAAUACUCCUCGCGAUUGAGUCCGGUAGGUCUACUUGCCAGCAACCCCCCAUUUUUACAGGUUGACCUCGGAUCAGGUAGGGAUACCCGCUGAACUUAAGCAUAUCAAUAAGCGGAGGA